UACGUAGGGUGCAAGCGUUGCCCGGAUUUAUUGGGCGUAAAGGGCGCGUAGGCGGCUCGGCACGUCCGUUGUGAAAUCGCCCGGCUCAACUGGGCGGGGUCAGCGGAUACGGUCGAGCUUGAGCAAGCUAGGGGGCAAUGGAAUUCCCGGUGUAGUGGUGGAAUGCGUAGAUAUCUGGAGGAACACCGGUGGCGAAGGCGGCAUCCUGGACCGACACUGACGCUGAUGAGCGAAAGCCAGGGGAGCAAACGGG
rnacentral:rRNA from 1 species